rnacentral:lncRNA from 1 species
CCACAUGUCUUUUUUGAAAGGUAUUUAGGUAUCUUUCUUAGACAGAAGGCAAAAGUGGCAGUUGGAGUCAAGGUGAGGACACAGGUCACUACAGCAUCUCCUGAUGCUGAGGGCUGGAAUGAAAGUCUCGGGGUGGAUAAGACAGGAGAUUUUAAGACAGAGGCAUUCCCAUUCAUGUCUAUGAAGAGAACCUGGGCUCUAGGUAGGCACCUUGGGAAGGGCGUUGCCUGCAGAGAAGAAAGGUUCCCUGGAGGGCCCCAAUGGUCCCCUGCGUUGACUCAUUUGCAGACUAUCCAACCUCAGAAGGACCAGCCACUGACCUGGCAGAGACAUGAGAAGAUGGGACAAGAGAGAUGGCUUGGUUAGCCUGAGGUCCAGGGGAAGAAGAGUUGGCCAGUCUCCAUGUUCUGUCAUCUCAGGACUGUCCUGGAUGUCGACGUUGUGCACACUGAUGGACUCUGCAUAGGGUGUGGUGGUGAUUGAUGGAUGUCACGCUAGCAAGAGCCAUAGACUGAAAAGGCCCACGCUGGGGGGGUCUCUGCAAAUGCCACAGCCAGCAGAGUGAUGAUCCAGAUGAA